CCUACGGGGGGCAGCAGUGAGGAAUAUUGGUCAAUGGCCGGAAGGCUGAACCAGCCAAGCCGCGUGAAGGACGAAGGUGCCAAGCAUUGUAAACUUCUUUCGUCAAGGGACAAAAUCAGGCUCGAGAGCCUGACCGAGGGUACUUGAAGAAAAAGCAUCGGCUAACUCCGUACCAGCAGCCGCGGUAAUACGGAGGAUGCGAGCGUUAUCCGGAUUUACUGGGUGUAAAGGGAGCGUAGACGGCGGUGCAAGCCAGAUGUGAAAGCCCGGGGCUCAACCCCGGGACUGCAUUUGGAACUGUAUGG
rnacentral:rRNA from 1 species